rnacentral:antisense_RNA from 1 species
UCGCGGUUGAGGAGGCGCAGGGACCAGGGGCCAGUAGUGACCGUAAACACGAGCCCCGGCCGUGUCCAGUCCCACUUGGUAGCCCGCAUGGCUGCCUAGCGGAGUGUGACAAGUUUUCAACUUGGGUGCACACACUGUCCCCGGAAUCCCGCGUUCCAGGGAGGAAGCGCCUUUGACAGCGCGCGCCGGUGCGUGGGGCCCGACGACGUGGGCCCGGGGAUGCGGACCUGGCGGAGAUGCGCGUUGGCUUCGAUUGUAGGCCAUUCCUUUUAGGAGCUGAGAAAGGAUCCAUUUUUACAGCAUUCUCGACCUGUGAUUCUUGGUGGGAGAAACUGUAGUUAUGUGGAUAAAAAUACAGUUAGCAAAAUAAAAAUGACAAUUUUACA